AGUUGCGUAUGAUGGAAAGCUUUCAGGAUGAGCUGUGAUAUGACACAUUUACUACUCUGCAAAUAUAAACAAGGACGUCACUUCUCACUAACUAGAACAGUAUAUUUCAUGUAGUGGCCCCUUCAGCAUAACAGAACGAUUUGCCCCUACAGGAAAGGUUAAUUCUUUGUCUGAACAUUCGAACAGAGCUAUGCAGGAAUGCGGGAUGCAGUCAGAACGUCGGCUGUCGGGAUCAUGACUGCAGAAAUACAGACAAUGGAAUCCCAACACCCUUUAGAAUCCCGAUGCCGGAACUUGGAAAGGGCCAGGAGACAGACGCCAGAAUCCCAACCAUAACUGUCAUCAUUAUCAUUCUGCACCUGCAACAGCCCUAACCUCGCUGCAAGAGAUCUGUCAGAGUACAGGUGAAAGCUGAAUACAUUGGACAACCAUGUCAAAGCAAAAGAUUACCAGGACAGCCAGAAAAGUACAUCCCAAAUUACCAAAACACUGAAUACCAUGGAUAGAUACAGCAGAACAUAAGAAGCCAGAACAAUGAAAAACAAGGACAACACCUAUUUGCAGGGAUUUACCACACUUAUUAGUCUAUAACAGUGAUCACCAAUCCAUAGCUCGCAAGCUUCUGUCUGAGGGCGCAGCAUCAGAUCACUCUGUGACACCAUCAGCCAUCUGAGUGACUCUCAGUUUCUGAAGCCCAGCUGCCGCUGCUCCUUCAAUGAGGCCAGGGAAUCUGCAUUGGAAGACUGAGAGCCUGGCCUUGGCACUACCACAAAACAGAGUUAACACAUCUCUGUUUUGUGAAACAGAUCCCAUCGCUGGCACCAAACGGUUGCAGACUGUCAAUCACUUGACAUCUGCAGUAUUACUGCACGCAAGGACGCAGGACCCAUACUGCACAUGCGCAGAUUUCCUAUAAUCGGAAAACUGCCCGAAACCUUCUACUAUUCCCACACCUGACUCAGACCCAUAGAUUUCCAGUAAAAGAUUUUGUAAUGUGGUACACUAGAAAUAUUAUUUACUGUAUUUAACUGAAGUGUGUUUGUUUUACGUUUGCUAAAAUCUAGACAAAUGGAGAUACGCAUGGCUGAACACAUAUAGAAUAUCAAAAAAUGUCUGAGUACACAUUCAUGGUCAGCCUAUUUCACAGAAAUCCAGAAAUGUUCAGAGGUGUCAGUAAAAAAAAUGUUGGAGUGAAUCCAAUUAAUUAAACCCUAGUGGUAAGCCAAUAAAGCUGUAAUGAAAUGGGGUUUUAAACUCAAGACUUUAGCCAGGUGGCUUAAAUUCUGGGAUAGCUCAGAAGAGAAAAACCAUUUCAUGGAACCUAAUAGCUGAAGAAAUCCAGUACAAGACCAUAUUGCAGAUAACCACUAUCUCCAUGAACAUAAAGAAGUUUAAAGAUUAUAUUAACUCCAUGUUGAAGAUGACACACACAAAAAAUGAAUUGGAAAGCAUACAGUAUAGCCUAAUUAUUUACUGUUUAUACUUAAGCAAUUUGUUGGGAUCUUAUGCCAUGCCUCAAAUAAUCUUUUCUUCUCCUCAUAUCAAUAUAUUACUUUCAUUACCGCUUGAGAAUCCCUUCUUCUCAAGCUCUAUUCGCUGUUUUACGUGCUGUAGAUAAAUCAGUAUUUUACCCCUCAUGUUUGAGAAUCACAAUCAAUGGAAUGACUGAAAUGAUUUACUGCCAACUAACAUAUACUCUUUUCAGUCGUUCCACCGUGUUUUUCUGUGAUUAAUUUACAAAUGAAAUCAUUAAGUCACGUUAAACUGUACUUUAAAAUAUUUCCCUUUAUCACAAUAUUUAGUCUAAAAAAAUUGACAAGCUGCUGACAGAUUUGUUAUUGUAUGAUACAGUUUUCACAUAAACAAAUAAUAAUCUGUUCUCUAUUGAUGUAUUAGCU